CAGGUUAUGAUAAUAUCUGUUAAUACACAGGUUAUAAUAUAUCUGUUAUUACAUAGGUAUAGUUUAUCUUUUAUGACACAGGUAUAGUAAGAUUUAAUAUCACACAGUUGAAGUAAUAUCUGUUAUUACACAUGUUAAGUAUAUCUGUUAUAAUCCAGGUUAUAUUUGUUAUUACAUAGGUUAUAAUAACGUCUGUUAUUACAUAGAUAUAGUAUAUCUGUUAUAAUCCAGGUUAUAAUAAUAAUUGUUAUUACACAGGUUAUAAUAAAAUCUGUUAUUACAUAGGUUGUAAUAAUAUUAGUUAUUACACAGGUUAUAAUAAUAUCUGUUAUUACAUAGGUAUAGUUUAUCUUUUAUGACACAGGUAUAGUAAGAUUUAAUAUCACACAGUUGAAGUAAUAUCUGUUAUUACACAGGUUUAGUUUAUCUGUUUUAAUCCAGGUUAUAAUACUAUUUGUUAUUACACAGGUUUUAAUAAUAUCUGUUAUUACAUAGGCUGUAAUAAUAUUAGUUAUUACAUAGGUAUAGUUAAUCCGUUAUGACACAGGUAUCGUAAUAUUCAUUAUCAUACAGUAUAAGUAAUAUCUGUUAUUACACAUGGAUAUGGCUUAGUGCAGAGCGUUUUUUUUUUUUUCCUGAUUGUAUAGCAAGCUUUGACUCUAUAAACCUGAUUUGGACCUGAACUAAAAGGCACAUGGCUGUUUUGACGGAAAUAUCCAGACAAGUAUGUAGAAGGGAAUUUGUUUGGUGGUCUUACUGGAAGUUUUCAAUCCCUGACUGGUCUAAACAGCCUGUUUCCCACACAGAUUUCAGACCCAACCCAGUCUGUUCUGGUAAAGAACCAAAUCUUCCAGGAACAGGUUUUUAUGACAGUAUUUUGUACAGUAGAAAGAAUAUUUGUUGCCUUCAGCACUCCCUCAGAUCAAUAUGUCACUGAGAGGCUAAGAAUUGCUGAUAAAAAGGGGAAAAGGCGGGAAUCUUUUUAAACAGCAGGGUGAUCAUUUCAGACGUCCAACAAUACGCUUGAGUUUAUUCCCAAAAGAUUAAAAAGUGGAAAAAAAAGACUGUUUUUGCUAAAGCUGAAGUAAAAAACCAACAGUGAUUGUGUUUUAUGUACUUUACAAAUUUUGGAGCUACAAAUAAAAUCCUUUUAUUUUAAAAUUGGAAGAUGGGAAACAAAACAAAGCAACACUUUUAUAGGAAUAUUUUCAGAUGCUCAGAACUGCACGAAAAAAACAGAAAUCCAAGGGACUUGAAUCAAGUGAUAAUAUAAAGACAUAAAAAAAAUCUCUGCUGGCGUCCAGAGUCACAGAAAUAUCAAAGAAAACACCAAAAACAAUGAGUUCAGAUGUUAGCCAUAUUUACAGCUCAGUGUUAAGGACUGCUUCCUUCAGAGCAGAAUAAACACAGGUCAGAAACUAAUUUAGUCUGAGCCUGUUUAUGAAGAGCUGACGUGACUCUCCAGCUACACAUCAACAGAAACUGAGCCAUCAAAACGGUUACUCAGCACAUAAAGACCCUUUUAGUGCAACAACGCCUCUAUUCUGCCCCUCUGCGUGAUUCAGCCUGUUUACAGGAUCCAGAUCUGAUUUUAGCCCAGAGAUUAUUUCACCAACACAUCAGGCUCAGAGACUCACUUCUUACUCAGGAUCACAUGGUCAGUGUUAUCAGUGUCAUGAUCUGAGGGUCAAAAAAUCAAAGCGUCAUCAGAUGGCUGCAGCUGACCCACAAACACUGAGCAAAAGGACUUCAGAUACAGUCAGGACCUUAUCAUGUACACUUGGAAUGGGCUACUGUUAGAGCUCCAUUAGACUACUGACCAAAUAACCACCUGAUCCAGAUCAGGGUUUAAACUUACUGACCUACAGACCACAUCAGGACUCAAAUUCACUGACCCACAAACCACACAAGACUUAAAUUCACUGACCCACAGACUACAUCAGUUUGUGUUGUUUUCCAUGCGACAGUUAACCAUCUGCUGGACUCUGGGAGCACUGGGGCUGUUAUUGUUCAUGAAAACUGAUGUAAAAUCAGCUGGCAUACAGACUUUAACAGAAACCAGCAUCAGUUUUUAUGGAACUGAUGGUGUUCACAUCGGCACAGCAUGAUCGCCUUGACCAGCAGGCUGAAGCAACCUCAAUGAAUGGUUCUGGUACUGCUCAGUUCACCCCAUUGUUAGCAAUAGCCACAUGAAAACAUCUCUGGAAGCGACUGUACAGACAUUCAACCAAUUAGAUUAAUGCAGUAUCUGUUGUAGCCAUAGCAACCAUAACAUUAACCAUAAAAGGGCUCGAAGAAAUCAGCCCUCCUCCCUGUCAGGUAAAGCCAGGUGAUGUCAGUGAAGACGAUGACGUCAUCUUUGAGUCACUCAUACCAGGAAAGAAGUAAAUGUCAUCAUGUGUCCUUUUACACACACGUGUCCUCUACAUGCCUGAAAUAUCAUUACUCAUUAAAGUUAGAUGUUAUAGAAGCUGUUUCCUCCUCUGAGCUAAUGUUUGACCGGACCGACGGCUUCUUCAUGAUUUCUUCACUUCUGUGUUUUAUCUUGAACAUGUAUUCCUCUUUAAAAUAACACCAGGAUCAAGAUUAAUCACAGUCAGAGAGAAAAUCUGAGCAUAUUUAAGCAGCAAGAUUUUC
rnacentral:lncRNA from 1 species